rnacentral:sRNA from 1 species
UCUUAUGGACUCAUUUUCUCAAUCGAGGUUCCCUCCUUUCAGAUAAACCUAGCUUGUGUCAAGUUGACAUAAGACCAGCAGACGGCAUACAGAUCAGUCUCCAGCAGUCCGACACCAGGCAAGAGGCAGCAGCUGUAGUUCAGUUCUGAAGGAACUGCAAGGUUUGCCAGCCAGCCCGAGGUGAGGCUGUGGAGGAACUUCCCAGCAGUUCUUGGGCGAGCUUCUCUCAUCCGAGGCAUAGCUGAAGAAUAGGAAGGCGGAGCAAACCAAAUCAAUGCUCAGUACUAGUCUCCCACUGUCUGUGGGGCCACAUUUAUAUUCCUUCAUCAAGAGUCCUUUCACAUGUCUGGUUUAGCAAGAUAUCCUUUCACCUGUGUGCCCCAGCAAAGUGUUAGAACUGACAUAACUGACUUUCCAAAGAAACCAGAAGUUUCCACUUCAGGAGACUCUGUAUCAAAGCAGACAAACUGAAUGAGGUCCAAAGAUCACUAAGGUCUUGUGUCCCCUGGAUCAUGCCUAUGACUAAAUGAAGUUUCCAAGAGUCAUUAUGGAGUGAGAAACACAAGCACAGAAACUAUGAACACAGCAAAACUCUAUGUGCGUAAGGAACAAGGAAGCAGAACAAACAUCCAGUCAUCUGUGCAGCAGCAUACCUGUGGGGCAGCAACAGGAGCCUCUCAGGGCCGUGGUUAUUGGAAGAGCUUUAACCUUUCUGUUAAAACCACAGAGAGCCAAGGGGUUGGGGAUUUAGCUCAGCGGUAGAGCGCUUGCCUAGCGAGCGCAAGGCCCUGGGUUCGGUCCCCAGCUCCGAAAAAAAAAAAAAAAAAAAAAGAAAAACCACAGAGAGCCCUUCAGACUAAUCACGGGGACAGAGCAUGGACAGAUACUCCACUGUCACUGUGACAUAGCACCUGACAAGAAGGAACUUGAGGGAGGGAACAUUUGUUUCAGCUCCCAGCUCCAAUGGGUACAGUCUAUCAUGGUGACGAAGUUACAGUGGCAGGGUGUGAGGUGAUGGGUCACAUUGUAUCCAUCCUCCACAGGAAGAAGAGACAGAUGAAGGCUGGUGCCCUUCCCCCUUUUAUUCAGUCCAGGACCACACUCCUUGGCAUGGUGGCACCUACAUCCAGGGUGAGCCUUCCAGGUCAGUUAAGCCAGUCUAGAAACUCCCUCACAGGUAUGCCCAGAGGGUUUAUUCCCUGGUGACCCUCUAUCCUGCCAGGCUGUCAAUUUAUGUUAAUCAUAGCAUAGGGCAAAUUACUGCCUUCUAUAAGCAAUAUUUAGGGGUUCAAAUGGUGCACACUCAUGCAACAGCAAGUAUCCACAGUGUGCGUGUGUGUGUGUGUGUGUGUGUGUGUGUGUGGUGUGUGUGUCCUUUCUCUAGUCACAUGGUGUGAGAGAAGUGGGGGGGGUGGAGAGAGGACAGACACAGAUCAGUGUAAUAGAGAAAGGGAGAGAGAGAGAUGGAGAGACAGAGAGAUACAAAGAUCUAUACAAAGAUAGAUCAAGAAAGGCAUCCAGAGAUGAUAGAGAAGACAGAGAGGCAGAGCAAUAGGAGGCAGAGGUAGAAAGCAGAGAGACAGAGAGAGAGGUCCAAACAGGGCAGUGCAGUUACUCUCGAAAACAACCCAGCAGUGGUGGUUACAAUAAGAAAGACCCCCCAUAGGCUCACGUUUGCAGAUCGAUCCCCAGUUGAUAGCUGUUUGGAGAGGAUUAGGAGGUGUGGCCUUGCUGAAGGAGCUGUGUCACUAAGGAUGGAGUCUCAAGAACUCGAGAACUUCGGACCUUCGGACCGUUAGUAGUGUGCUCUCUUUGCUUCUUGAUGGAGGUGUGAGCCCUCAAGCUCCCGCUCCAGCUGCCCUACCUGUGCCUGUUGGAAAGCGGACCUAGUGUUAUGGACCCCAAUUCCCCAAGCCCCAAAUACACAUUCUCUAGUGCUCUUGGUGUUCUAUCACGGCCAUAGCAAAGCUAAUAGAACUCUGACCUCUGAAGGGAGCAUUGGGAGCCUAGCAAACUACAGACUGGUGGCCAGGCAGGGAGGGUGGAGGUGGGUGGAGAGACAUGGGGAGUCUCCAGUCUGAGGCUACCACACGAGGCAAGGACUUCUCUGGACCUAGAGGAGAGACCGGAUUCGGAGACCAGGAUGCCACAGUGGGGACUUUCUGCCUGGGCCAUGUUGGUUCCGUGAAGAGAUUUUUUCCUCUGUGCCAAGCAUGGCCAGCCUUUUGACAUGGCCAUGACAUAGGAAGUUCAGGCUGAGAACUAUGCAAUGGAGUUACGAAGAUUUCUUUUUCUUUUUCUUAUGUUUUGAGUAACUUCACAAUUUUGUGUUGUGCUGCACGCAGGCACAGGCCGCAGGCUGGAUAUACCUGCUUCUAGAAACUUCCAUUUUCCUCCAAGCAGAGUUCUGACCCGAGCUGCUGACCCAGAAGACGAAAUGAGAAGAGAGAUAGACUGGAAAGUUCAUUCCGGCUUAAUCCAGGUGGAAUUUCAUCAGAGCUCCUGGAGAGUGUGACAGCAGCGUGCCUGGGAGGGAGCUGCGGCGGGAGGAGAGGCGCUUCCCCCAGGUGUGGUGUCUGUCUACCAGAUACCUGCAGUUCCUAAGGAGGACAGAAGAGGGCGCUGUAUCUCCUGGUGCCGUAGUUACAGACCAUCGUGAGCCGCCAUGUGAGUGCUCAGAAGCAACCUAGGUCCUCUGAAAGAGCAGCCAUUACGCUUUGCUACUGAGCCAUAUCUUCAGUUGCUCACUUUUGUGGUAAUCAGAACUCUGUUGGCUAGAAUCGCGACGAGUUGACCUGUGAGAACUCAGGCACACCAAGGAACCUGAAGCUCAAAGAUGUCUCUUGCGGCAGAGGCUGGCGCUGUCUUUCCCCAGUCGUGUUCUGUCCAGCUCAGACUUGGCAGCAGAGAGAAUUAAGCAUGACCUUUCAACUGGGGCCAUGCCGGAUCUGGCUCCAGCUCCAUCCAGCUCUUGCAGAGAUUAAGAAGAGACUAUGGCUGGCGCUUCCAACACAAGGCAGAGGCUGUGCCAAACAGACCUUUCUGGGUGUCAGGCUUGUAAACAGCAAGUCAAGUGAAGAGAAAGAAAAGCCAUUGUUUCUAUUGGCUUCAGGCAUGGUUGGAUUCAAGCACUCAACUAGUCAGGGCGCCUCUGGGAUUCGCUGCUUUUUGUGUUAGAUCCACUCCUGGGUGGGACAUUGGCCUGGCAGCAUCUUACCUUCGUCUUACUAAGUAUAAGACCAUUUGAAAG